CCUACGGGGGGCAGCAGUGAGGAAUAUUGGUCAAUGGACGAGAGUCUGAACCAGCCAAGUAGCGUGAAGGAUGACUGCCCUAUGGGUUGUAAACUUCUUUUAUAUGGGAAUAAAACGUUCCACGUGUGGGAUUUUGUAUGUACCAUAUGAAUAAGGAUCGGCUAACUCCGUGCCAGCAGCCGCGGUAAUACGGAGGAUCCGAGCGUUAUCCGGAUUUAUUGGGUUUAAAGGGAGCGUAGGUGGAUUGUUAAGUCAGUUGUGAAAGUUUGCGGCUCAACCGUAAAAUUGCAGUUGAAACUGGCAGUCUUGAGUACAGUAGAGGUGGGCGGAAUUCGUGGUGUAGCGGUGAAAUGCUUAGAUAUCACGAAGAACUCCGAUUGCGAAGGCAGUUCACUGGACUGCAACUGACACUGGGGCUCGAAAGUGUGGGUAUCAAACAGGAUUAGAUACCCUUGUAGUC
rnacentral:rRNA from 1 species